rnacentral:lncRNA from 1 species
UGGGGAAGCUGGAGCAGUAGAAUAUCUACAGCUUCAAACACAGUGACUCAGUGCAGGUGAAAAAUUCUUUUGGGCAGGGUGGUGGGAUUGAAAAGCAAGCACAGAUCUGCAUCCCUCUUUUCUGACUGCUCUUUGAUCACCUCUGGUAGGAAUAGGAUCACCUCUGAGCAACGUCUUGUUCCCCCAUCAAUGUCACAGAGCACAUUCUCCAUUUCUCCAAAUUUGCCUGGUAAAGCCAGUAGCAACAUGUUAAACCUUCUCAACAGAAUAUAUGGAUGCAUCUGUUUUCUUCUCCAAGUUAUCUUCAUACUGGUAGAGCUCAGAAACUCUCACUGUGCAGAGAGGGCUCUUCCAGCAGCUCCCCGUGCCUCUCUGACCCCAGCCUGGUGCCCUUUUCACUGUAUGAUGAUGAAAAUUGAGGGAUUGAAUGUUUACAGUGUUCACAGUGACCACAACUUGAAAUAGCACCAUGGAAAGAGUCAUCAGCUGUAGAAACAAUACAAGGAAAACAAGCCUUCAUCAGAGAUGGAAAUCAGCAGGUGUGAUGGACCCUAAAUGUACCCUCAUGUACCUAAGGGAGGGAGACUUUUCUUUCACACGAUGUGUGUUUGUAGCCACAGCUCAAAGGGCCUGUGCCAAAGGAAUGGGAGAUCACUGAGAUCCUGAGAUCACUGAAGAACCUGUGAAGAACACAAUGCUAAUUUCAGACUUGAGCCUCCUCCUUCUGGCAAUAGUGUCUGCUGGUUUCACCUUGCACACCUCCAGAAUGAGAGCUGCCACCUUGAUACCAGGCAGGAGAUAAACCACUGCCCUGCUACUGUUCUGGAGGCACUGUUUACUAGCACACUUGGACUCACUUUCUGCAUGUGUUUAUUCAGAGCAGUCACAUGCUUCAGCAAAGAUCAGAGUUGAUUUAUGUCUGCUGAAAACCCCCUGAAUAUCAGUUAUUGAUUAAAUUCUUGUUAUCAUUUGGAAUAGAUUGCUGUGCUAAGGCAGCUCUUGGCACACUCAGUGGGAUUUGCCUGGGACUGUGCUAAAGCUUGGUCAAUACCAUGCUGAAAUUAAGUACUGCUUCAUUGUACUUUGCUUUCUGCUCAGGAGACAUUUAUGAGAGUUCAAAAUGUAAACAUGAAAUUCUGACUGCAGAUAAGACUUAUCCAGAAAUAUGUGUUAUCUGCUCAGCUGUUUGUGUGAAUCUGCCUUUCUGUGCCUUUGUCACUUUGAAAUUUUAUCUCUCUUUUAUGUUUUAAUAGUGGCCAUAUUAGUAACCAAUUUACUGCAGGGAGCAUGUCCUUCAACAGUGAAACACACAGGGCUGUGCAACCCAGAGAGGGAUGAACAAAAUGGCAAAAAAUAAACCUUUCUCUAUAGAACUGUCCCA